rnacentral:pre_miRNA from 1 species
AAUAAGUGCAGUUUUACACUAUUCACGUUUAACGUUUGACCGUCCGUCUUAUUUGAAAAAUUUAUGAAAAAAUUAAAAACAUUUAGUCACACAUAAAGUACUAUUCAUGUUUUAUCAUCUAAUAGCAAUAAAAAUACUAAUCAUAAAAAUUUUUCAAAUAAGACGGACGGUCAAACGUUGAACGUGAAUAGUGCAAAACUGCACUUAUU